rnacentral:rRNA from 1 species
UACGUAGGGGCUAGCGUUGUCCGGAAUCAUUGGGCGUAAGAGCGUGUAGGCGGCCCGGUAAGUCCGCUGUGAAAACUCGAGGCUCAACCUCGAGACGUCGGUGGAAACCGUAUGGCUAGAGUCCGGAAGAGGAGAGUGGAAUUCCUGGUGUAGCGGUGAAUGCGCAGAUAUCAGGAAGAACACCCGUGGCGAAGGCGGCUCUCUGGGACGGUACUGACGCUGAGACGCGAAGCGUGGGAGCGAAGCAGG